UUCUAUUAUUAUUUUUAACUCGCAGAAUGCUACUCGGAGGAAGAAGCCCUUGUCUGCCAGAACAAUUCCCUCUUCUUCUACAACAAAACAUGCCUCACGGCUGACCAAUACUGUGGGGUUGCUAAUCUCCGCGCUCACAACCUGACCCACUGCCACCAUCCAACUGAGGGAGCUUUAGCAGCUAGUUCAGUUAUUAACAAAAUCUCUCCAAGCGAGGACUUCUUUUUGAAUCGCAUGCUGCAUGUCACAGGCAAGACCUGGGAUGACCUUGGUGUCCUGCAGUGGGAGUUGGUGGGUUACCUGGCCCUUUCGUGGAUCCUGGUCGGCGCCAGCCUCUUCAAGGGGAUUAAGAGUCUUGGAAAAGUAGUCUAUUUUACUGCUACUUUUCCAUAUCUCAUUCUUAUCGUCCUCUUUAUCAGAGGUCUUACACUGGAAGGCUCUUACAAAGGAAUAGAAUUCUACAUUCUAAAAUUCGACGUCACGAGACUCAUGGAGGUGGAAGUGUGGGGCGAUGCCGCAGUACAAAUAUUCUACUCAGCUGGAAUAUGUUUCGGAAGUCUCAUUACACUGUCCUCCUAUAACAAAUUCAACAACAACUGUAUGAGGUGAAUACAGCUCUAAA